rnacentral:rRNA from 1 species
CAAGUCGAGCGAGCUUGCCUAGAUGAUUUUAGUGCUUGCACUAAAUGAAACUAGAUACAAGCGAGCGGCGGACGGGUGAGUAACACGUGGGUAACCUGCCCAAGAGACUGGGAUAACACCUGGAAACAGAUGCUAAUACCGGAUAACAACACUAGACGCAUGUCUAGAGUUUGAAAGAUGGUUCUGCUAUCACUCUUGGAUGGACCUGCGGUGCAUUAGCUAGUUGGUAAGGUAACGGCUUACCAAGGCAAUGAUGCAUAGCCGAGUUGAGAGACUGAUCGGCCACAUUGGGACUGAGACACGGCCCAAACUCCUACGGGAGGCAGCAGUAGGGAAUCUUCCACAAUGGACGAAAGUCUGAUGGAGCAACGCCGCGUGAGUGAAGAAGGGUUUCGGCUCGUAAAGCUCUGUUGGUAGUGAAGAAAGAUAGAGGUAGUAACUGGCCUUUAUUUGACGGUAAUUACUUAGAAAGUCACGGCUAACUACGUGCCAGCAGCCGCGGUAAUACGUAGGUGGCAAGCGUUGUCCGGAUUUAUUGGGCGUAAAGCGAGUGCAGGCGGUUCAAUAAGUCUGAUGUGAAAGCCUUCGGCUCAACCGGAGAAUUGCAUCAGAAACUGUUGAACUUGAGUGCAGAAGAGGAGAGUGGAACUCCAUGUGUAGCGGUGGAAUGCGUAGAUAUAUGGAAGAACACCAGUGGCGAAGGCGGCUCUCUGGUCUGCAACUGACGCUGAGGCUCGAAAGCAUGGGUAGCGAACAGGAUUAGAUACCCUGGUAGUCCAUGCCGUAAA